rnacentral:rRNA from 1 species
UCCCUUAGUAGCGGCGAGUGAAGUGGGAAGAGCCCAAGCUGUAAAUCUCCGGUGCACUGUGCCGGCGAAUUGUAGUCUGGAGAGGAGCAUGUCUGGUUGGGACUGUCUCUCAAAGUUGUUGUGGAACGGCACGCCUUAGAGGGUGAGAGCCCCGUGCUUGAGAAGGCAGUAUCCAUCUGCUGUGAUGCUCUCUCGUAGAGUCGGGUUGUUUGGUAAUGCAGCCCAAACUGGGUGGUAAACUCCAUCCAAGGCUAAGUACUGGCACGAGACCGAUAGCGAACAAGUACCGUGAGGGAAAGAUGAAAAGCACUUUGAAAAGAGAGUCAAACAGUGCGUGAAACCGUUGGUAGGGAAGAGAAUGCGGGUAACUUGUCCCUUGUGAGGGUUCAGGCGACCAGAUGGUCGCUGUGGGUUCGAGGGCGGGAGCCCUUUUGACCUGCAGACGGUCCAGCUGGCCAUGCUGCACUUCCUUCAAGGGCGGUCAGCGAGAGUUCAAUUUGGUGCUCCAAGAGUCUGCUUUGGAAGUCAGUGUGGUCCUCCGGGACUGCACUUGUGUCCAUGCGGUUCCGUAGUGCCUUGGACUGAGGAAAGUGGCAGCCAUUGCCUCGGCAGUGCCAGCCUGUGGGCCGGACGGAUUGUGCCGGUGAGUGUCUCUCUGCGGGACUGCCUGUCAGUGUCGCGUUGUAGCCCGAGCCGGACA